rnacentral:lncRNA from 1 species
AAUCUGUUCCAAAGCAGACUUAGACCCACUGAAGCUCAUGGGGACUUCCUGGGUCUUUGCUGUUGCUCUCCUAGGUCAUCAAAGCAAUACCACAUGGCAGUUUCCUACCGUGGAGCCUUUGAAGGAUGACAGAUCCAGGGAUGACAGAGCGACUUCAUCCACGAGGGAUAACUUUCCUUUCACUUCUGAGCUUAAUGAAGACUUUUCCAAAAGUCAACUUCAGUGACAGGAGACAGGUUCUGCUUCAGCCAGACCAGGAUUUAUGUUUAAAUUGUCAUAAUAGCCCCAGCAAUUCUUCAAACACAACCGGAGGACUGAGGCAUCACUUCACUGGCAUCAGCCCGGGCUGCCUCCGCCUUGCCCUAGGAGCGCUGGUCCCCUCAAGUCCCCGGUUGCCCUUCCCGGAGCAUCCCCAAAGAGGAGGAUUGGAGAAGGCGUGA